AGCCCAGUAGCGUAAUGGUAGCAUUAUCCAUCCUAUGGAAUGUGUGGGUUCGAAUCCUGCCCGGGCUG